rnacentral:rRNA from 1 species
CAAGUCGAACGGGAAUCUUCGGAUUCUAGUGGCGGACGGGUGAGUAACGCGUAAGAAUCUAACUUCAGGACGGGGACAACAGUUGGAAACGACUGCUAAUACCCGAUGUGCCGCAAGGUGAAACCUAAUUGGCCUGGAGAAGAGCUUGCGUCUGAUUAGCUAGUUGGUGGGGUAAAGGCCUACCAAGGCGACGAUCAGUAGCUGGUCUGAGAGGAUGAGCAGCCACACUGGGACUGAGACACGGCCCAGACUCCUACGGGAGGCAGCAGUGGGGAAUUUUCCGCAAUGGGCGAAAGCCUGACGGAGCAACGCCGCGUGAGGGAGGAAGGUCUUUGGAUUGUAAACCUCUUUUCUCAAGGAAGAAGUUCUGACGGUACUUGAGGAAUCAGCCUCGGCUAACUCCGUGCCAGCAGCCGCGGUAAUACGGGGGAGGCAAGCGUUAUCCGGAAUUAUUGGGCGUAAAGCGUCCGCAGGUGGUCAGCCAAGUCUGCCGUCAAAUCAGGUUGCUUAACGACCUAAAGGCGGUGGAAACUGGCAGACUAGAGAGCAGUAGGGGUAGCAGGAAUUCCCAGUGUAGCGGUGAAAUGCGUAGAGAUUGGGAAGAACAUCGGUGGCGAAAGCGUGCUACUGGGCUGUAUCUGACACUCAGGGACGAAAGCUAGGGGAGCGAAAGGGAUUAGAUACCCCUGUAGUCCUAGCCGUAAACGAUGGAUACUAGGCGUGGCUUGUAUCGACCCGAGCCGUGCCGAAGCUAACGCGUUAAGUAUCCCGCCUGGGGAGUACGCACGCAAGUGUGAAACUCAAAGGAAUUGACGG